CCUGUUUAGCAAAAACAUGUUUGUUUGGAGUUAUAAAGAAUUUAACCUGCCCCCUGAUUAACUACUAAUUAAAGGGCCGCAGUAUUAUAACUGUGCAAAGGUAGCAUAAUCAUUAGGUUUUUAAUUGAAAUCUCGUAUGAAUGGUUGGACAAAAGAAAGACUCUCUUUAUAUUAAGUUUUGAAUUUAACUUUUAAGUGAAAAGGCUUAAAUAUUCUAAAGGGACGAUAAGACCCUAUAAAACUUUACAUUGUCAUUAAUUUUGAUUGAAUUUAUGAAAUAAAAAUUUUAUUUGAUUAUUUGUUAUGUUGGGGAGACAUAAGUAAAAUAUUUUUUUAACUGCUUGAUAGUUAUACAAUUAUUAGUGAAUAAGUAGAAGAUCCUUUUUAAGAUUAGUAGAUUAAGUUACUUUAGGGAUAACAGUGUAAUUUCUUUUGAGAGUUCUUAUCGAAAAAGAAGGUUGCAACCUCGAUGUUGAAUUAAAAUAUCUAUAUAAUGGAGAGGUUAUAUAAGAAGGUCUGUUCGACCUUGAAAAUUUUACAUGAUUUGAGUUCAAACCGGUGUAAGCCAGGU
rnacentral:rRNA from 1 species